UUUUUUGAAAGAGCACUAAGAAAGGUAAGAUAUAUAUAUUUAGAUCUAGUGAAAAGAAGCUUAGAUCUAGCCGAAAUCUGUCUAAAGACUUAAGAACAUCAAAUUAUGGUUUUCUAGCUCUAAAUGUUGAGUCAAUUUAGACAGAUCUAGACAUCUACACUAGACUACAACUACAGUAAUUUGACAUUUGUGACGUCAAAUAUUCAUACUAAUCAAUCCAUUGCAACCACUUAUAAAUCAGCCAUUUUGUUUUUAAAAGUCAAUUAGAUUCUAUAUUUAAUCUAGUCUUCUACAUAGAUCUAGACCAAGAUCUAUUAUACUAAAUCUAAUUAUAGCCAAUGUAGGCCUCUAGAAUUUAAAUCAUCAGAUUAUGAUUAGAUUAGACUUGUCUUGAUUCUUGCCAUUCUUGGUAUUCUGUCACAGUGAGUAAUAAGAGUAUAUGUAUUUGCCAGGCUAUGCCUUUUUCACUUUUUGCUAAAAUCAGUUCUUGAGUUAUGCAAACAUGUUAUGUAAUCAAUAUUUGAAGCUAGUACAAUUCCAAGUUUCUAGUCAACUUGUAGGUUGAAGACUAAUCUACUGUAGUCUUUAGAAUAGAUUACCUGCCAGCUGUCCUGAGAUUCAGGUUCCAGAUAUCUAGAUCUAGUGUUCUAGUCCUAUUUAGAAUCUUGACAAAAAUAAUGUCUAAAUUAUUCUAAAUCUAGUUUACAUUUUUUCUUUAUUUUGCUGUUCAUGAUUAGGGACAUUAAAAAAAUGUAUAAUUUUUCAAAGCAUAAAAAAACAACUUUGAUUACAUUACAUUUAUAUAUCUUCUAAUCUACUGCACUUUUAACUUACAGAUGCAGAUUUUUGUCAAGACCCU